ACCGGUUCUUCGGAACCGGGGAAAGCGGCGAACGGGUGAGUAACACGUGAGUAAUCCACCCUCGGCACCGGGAUAGCCCGGGGAAACCCGGAUUAAUACCGGAUAGCCCAACAGCUCUUCGGGGCGGUUGGAAAAGGUAGCUUAGGCCUCUGGCCGAGGACGAGCUCGCGGCGGAUUAGCUUGUUGGUGGGGUAAUGGCCUACCAAGGCGACGAUCCGUAGCUGGUCUGAGAGGACGAUCAGCCACACUGGGACUGAGACACGGCCCAGACUCCUACGGGAGGCAGCAGUGGGGAAUCUUGCACAAUGGGCGAAAGCCUGAUGCAGCGACGCCGCGUGAGGGAAGAAGGCCUUCGGG
rnacentral:rRNA from 1 species